rnacentral:rRNA from 1 species
GACGAACGCUGGCGGCGUGCUUAACACAUGCAAGUCGAACGGUGAAGCGCCUUCUGUUUUGUUCGGUGUGGAUGAGUGGCUAACGGGUGAGUAACACGUGAGUAACCUGCCCCCUUCUUCGGGAUAACCGCAUGAAAGAGUGGCUAAUACGGGAUAUUCUGGGUCUGUCGCAUGGUGGGUCUGGGAAAGGUAUUGUUUCGGCUGGGGAUGGGCUGGCUGGCUAUAAGAUUGUUGGUGGGGUGAUGGCCUAGCAGGGCGGUGGCGGGUAGCCGGCGUGGGAGGGUGGGCGGUACCACUGGGACUGAGACACGGCGCCGACUGCUCGGCGAGGCCGCAGUGGGGAGUAUUGCAUGGUGGGUGAAGGACUGAUGCAGCAAGGCCGAGGGAGGGAUGGAGGCUUGCGGGUUGUGAACCUCUUGCGCCAGUGAAGCAGGCCUGCCUCGUAUGUGGGUGGGUUGACGGUAGCUGGAUAAGAAGCGCCGGCUAACUACGUG